rnacentral:lncRNA from 1 species
CAGUAUGCUUAUCUAAAGGAGGAUCCUGUUGUGGCAUCUGCUCUGCUGGCAAGUCGGAUGCUCACACUGCUGCUCUGGCCAUGGACUGCCUGGACCACCCUCCACCAACUCUACACACCCAAGUCAGCCUCUUUUUCUUAGCUCUACCUCACUGGCCUGGCUCACUGGGAUGCACCUCUGUUGUCUAAGUCAUCUAAAUCUCCUUAGAAGUGAAGCCAGGCGUGGUAGAGUACACCUUUAAUCCCAGCACUUGGGAGGCAGAGGCAGGUGAAUUUGAGUUCAAGGCCAGCCUGGUCUACAGAGUGAGUUCCAGGACAGCCAGGGCUACACAGAGAAACCCUGUCUCGAAAAACCAAAGAAGUGAGCGGUGCUUGUGCUACACCUGCCCCCAGGCAGCUGGCACCUCUGCCCCCCACCCCAUCUGUUACAAAGAAACAAAACAAUUGUCCUCCCUCCGCCAGGACUGACCUCUUUGAGAAUGAUAAAUGAUAAAUGAUAAACAGCACUCCCCUUUCCUAUCUAAGUAUCUCAUCUUGGAACCCUGAGCAGGGUACCCUGCUUUGAGCCGAAUCUCAGCAGCUAUUGAUUGUUGUGGGAGUAAAUGCAGAGACCUGGACUAACUUACCGUGGACAAUGAGAAAUAGACUCAUUCUUCAGAGAAGCAAGGAAAUAGGAAAAGACAAUCCCCCCUCUCAGCAUACCUAUUUGUGACAGGGACAUUGCAAGCUCUGCUUCAUCCAGGCAGAAAGUGAAGCUGGAGGGAGCUAAGGAUUGAUGUUCUGGGCACAGCAGCAUGCUGGGCACUGUCCCCAGUGCUUAGCACAUGUCAUGUCCUCACAGUGACUCUCCUGCAGUGCCCUUCGUUUGUAGAUGAGGAAAUGGAGGCCCGGAGAAGUGAUGUUAGAACCUACAUUUCCAAAGCUCAUCUCAAGGUAGACUAUGAUCUCUGCACCGCACCUGAGAUGAGUGGGCCCUUUAUUUCUAUAAUUCAUCAUUUUGUGCCUCCAGCACCCCAAAUCCUCUUGAAGAGCAGAAACAAACAAAAAUUGAUUGAAUCAUUUACACCACAGGUGGCAGGACCUAGCCCCUUGUGCAGGACAGUUUUCUUCCCAACGGCACUCCCCUUUCCAUAGACCCCCACAGUUUGCCUGCUGGCCUGAGUGCUCAGUGGCCUUCUGUGUUCCCCCAAUAGGUCUCUCAAGGGCCUCUGAGUCAGCGAGGCAGCAGCAAGGGAAGAAUGCUACUGCCUCAGGCCCAUCCACAGCCAAGUAUACAGCAAGGUAGAUAUGAGAUGGGCUCACCACACAUCUACAGGGCAGCCUCCUCCUGGGAUUCCUCACACAGGAAGACAUACAACUGCACCUCUUAGCAUCCCCAACCCAAACCUCAACCCCAACCCCAACAGCUGAACUGACUCCUAGCCUUCCCUCUGAAGUUCAAGCCUGCUAGUGAGCCAGACUGCCAUGUCUGCCCCUUGUUCUUCCUUCCAACUCUCACAGCCCCCUCUCUCCAAGUCACCCGGUACCUUCCCACUGCCAUAGUGGUGAAAGGGCUUCUCUUACUCUCCACAAUGUGAUCAGAAUCUUCCUAUCUCUCCUCCUUCCUGGAAUGCUAUCAUCACUCCUCCUUUCUUGCAGCUAUUGUGAUAUAAUGGCUGUAAGGAGAAUGUGUUCCUCAUCCUACCUGCAGCACGAGGCACCAAAUGCAAGCACGUUCAACUCGAACGCUUUGCUUUCAACCACCACUUUAAAACCCCAACAGAGCCGGGCGUGGUGGCACACGCCUUUAAUCCCAGCACUCGGGAGGCAGAGGCAGGCAGAUUUCUGAGUUUGAGGCCAGCCUGGUCUACAACAGGGCUAUACAGAGAAACCCUGUCUCGAAAAACCAAAAAAAAAAAAAAAAAACCCAACAGAAGAACUACACUGGACUAAAUCUGGGAUUUGAACACAGGUCUAACCCAACCUCAAUAGCCAAGUUCUUCCAUUUAACUAGUUUUCUCUUUCUCUGCCAAAAAGAGCUCCUUGUUCCUCCAAGACUGUGCUGGGUUAUGCAUUCCACAACAGCCAGGACAGGGCCUCCAGCUCCACCUCACCCUGGCUGUUCCAGGCUCUCUCCCCACAGGGAUCUCCAGUGUGGACUCAGACACAAGGUUUUCAGAGUGGCAAUGCAAAACAUCUCUCUUUGAAAGCACUUGCGUGUAGGCUUCCCUGCUUUGGCUCGCUUAAGACAGACUUGAGUGGCCUUUUAAUAGGUUUGUUUUGUGGUUGGUUUAUUCCUCUGAUGGGGUGAGUGGAUUUCACUUAGCUGUGUAAAGAAGGAGAGGCAGUUUAUGAGCCAAGUGGAGCGGCUGGUGUCAGAUGGGCUGAAGGAUGCUGAACGUUCUCACAGGUCUCUCCACCCCCUUGAGCACCUGACGGGGGCGGCUUUGCUGCCUGGUGGCUUUUAUUUUGAUUUUCCUUCAGCCUCUCAGAAUCUGUUUAACUCACCUGGAAAGCUGCAUAAUCUUGACAAAGCUCAAGACAAAUUAAUGAGUUGAUUCUCUCUUGCUGCUGCUACUUUCUAUUAGCCAGAUGGAAGACCCAGCAGUGUACUGUGCACUCAAAGACUGGAUGUACCUGUGAUAGCUAUUCUUGGUCAUCGGCUCAACUACAUCUGGAAUUAAUUAAAACCCAAACAUCUGCAUACUCUUGUGAGGAAUUUCUUUUCUUUAUUAAAUCAUUUGAAGUGCGAAGACACAUUUUUAAUCUGGAUCUUUUGAGGGGAGAAGAUUGACCCUUAACCUGGGUCCUACCUUCUGCUGACAGCCCGUAUAAAGGGAAUGAAGAAGGAAACUUGCUCUCACUCUGGCUGGAGGACCAUUCCUUCACUGGCAUUGGAGCCUAUGCCUUUGAGACCCUGGUAUAUGCUGGUAUAUGCCUGGUAUAUCCUGGUAUAUGCCUUUGAGACCCUGGUAUAUGCUGGUAUAUGCCUGGUAUAUCCUGGUAUAUGCCUUUGAGAUCCUGGUAUAUGCUGGUAUAUGCCUGGUAUAUCCUGGUAUAUGCCUUUGAGACCCUGGUAUAUGCUGGUAUAUGCCUGGUAUAUCCUGGUAUAUGCCUUUGAGAUCCUGGUAUAUGCUGCUAUAUGCCUGGUAUAUCCUGGUAUAUGCCUUUGAGACCCUGGUAUAUGCUGAAGAACAGUGGAGACAUCCACACUCGUGGGCUGAACAACGACUGGAUUCUUGGACCUCCCAGAGACAGCCAUUGUUAGACUAGCUGGACCAUAGCCCAUAGUCAUUCUAAUAAAUCCCAUUAUACAGAAAGUAGAGAGUUAGAUUGGUGGUGAUGGUGCAAACCUUUAGUCCCAGCACUCGGAAGACAGAGGCAGAUGGAUCUCUAAGAUCUCUGGUCUAUUGAGUGAGUUCCAGGACAGCCAGGUUCUACACAGAAACCCUACUUUAAAAACAAAAACAAAAAACAAAAUUAAUCGUUUUUUAAAAGUAGAGA